rnacentral:rRNA from 1 species
AACGAACGCUGGCGGCAGGCUUAACACAUGCAAGUCGAGCGCCCCGCAAGGGGAGCGGCAGACGGGUGAGUAACGCGUGGGAAUCUACCCAUCCCUACGGAAUAGCUCCGGGAAACUGGAAUUAAUACCGUAUACGCCCUACGGGGGAAAGAUUUAUCGGGGUAUGAUGAGCGCGCGUUGGAUUAGCUAGUUGGUGGGGUAAAGGCCUACCAAGGCGACGAUCCAUAGCUGGGCUGAGAGGAUGAUCAGCCACAUUGGGACUGAGACACGGCCCAAGCUCCUACGGGGGGAAGCGGGGGGGAGUAUCGGACAGCGGGCGCAAGCCUGAUCCAGCCAUGCCGCGUGAGUGACGAAGGUCUUAGGAUGGUAAAGCGCUUUCACCGAUGAAGAAAAUGACGGUAGUCGGAGAAGAAGCCCCGGCUAACGUCCUGCCAGCCGCCGCCGUAAUAC